UCCUACGGGACGCAGCAGUGGGGAAUCUUGCACAAUGGGGGAAACCCUGAUGCAGCGACGCCGCGUGAGUGAUGAAGCCCUUCGGGGCGUAAAGCUCUUUCGGCAGGGACGAAACAUGACGGUACCUGCAGAAGCAGCUGCGGCUAACUACGUGCCAGCAGCCGCGGUAAUACGUAGGCAGCGAGCGUUGUUCGGAGUUACUGGGCGUAAAGGGUGCGUAGGCGGUCUCUCAAGUUCGGUGUGAAAUCUCCCGGCUCAACUGGGAGGGUGCGCCGGAAACUGAGGGACUCGAGUGCGGGAGGGGAGAGCGGAAUUCCUGGUGUAGCGGUGAAAUGCGUAGAUAUCAGGAGGAACACCGGUGGUGCAAACGGCUCUCUGGACCGUAACUGACGCUGAGGCACGAAAGCGUGGGGAGCAAACAGGAUUAGAUACCCGGGUAGUCCC
rnacentral:rRNA from 1 species